UACGGAGGGGGCUAGCGUUGUCGUCGAAUUACUGGGCGUAAAGCGCACGUAGGCGGCUUUGUAAGUUAGAGGUGAAAGCCUGGUGCUCAACACCAGAAUUGCCUUUAAGACUGCAUCGCUUGAACGUCGGAGAGGUGAGUGGAAUUCCGAGUGUAGAGGUGAAAUUCGUAGAUAUUCGGAAGAACACCAGUGGCGAAGGCGGCUCACUGGCCCGAUACUGACGCUGAGGCACGAAAGCGUGGGGAGCAAACAGG
rnacentral:rRNA from 1 species